rnacentral:lncRNA from 1 species
UGGCUACUGUGGGGUGGAAGGUCAUGAUCGGCGUAUAUGCACUAAAUUGGAAGAGGUGUCAAAUAUGUCUAUUUUUUAUUUUGUGUCUGCUUUACUCAUUAAUGUAGUGCACUAAUUAUAUUUGUUGUUGUGUAGGAAGUGAUGGGCUGAUGGCAGCAAACUGUUAGGUACAACUCUCUAUACAAGGGAUUUCAUGGUAGGAAAUUAUUGCGCUUGUGGUCCUGUUAUGAAGUUUUAAUUACUGCAAGUAUGACUGUGCUUCAAUAACAUCAGUGUUAGUUGUCAAUUCAUGUAUCAUAUUUGUCUUUUAUUAGUAUUAUUAGGUUGGCUUCCAUAUAUUUCUAAUAUAAAAACAAUUGUUGGUUGGCCGAGCAAAGAAUGAAACUGUCUGCAUGUUACUUAUUAAUAACUUGAAACGGACCACUGUUUUGAGAUGUACAGUAUAUGUUCACAGAAUUAUAAAAUUUCUGCAGUAUAUGAUGAUACUUUUUUCUGAAAAUGAGAUUGCAAUAUGUAGUUGAGAUCCGGUGUUGUAAUUGCGACAUCACACUUUCUGCCGACGCUAUGCAAUUUCUUGAACUUUUGUAAAUAUUUCUCCAUAUUCUUCAGGUGACCCGAAGUGGCAGGCAGCUACAUGCUGGUCUGCUGAGAAGAUCAAACGCACUAUGAAGAUCAAGCAGGCAGAGAAAAAAGUCUAUGGUUCUAGAUUCUCAAGCAAGGCAGAGAAGACUAAUGGUAGCAAGGCAGGGUGUGCUUGUCUCUACAAAAAACAUCGUAGAUUUAAUGGCAGCUGAUCAUGUAGUAAAUACAUCAUACUUGAAGACAUGUAGGAGGUUGAAGAUGAUGUUCGAUGAGUUAUUGGCUUUCAUGAGUAUGUAGUCAUUUCUCCGGUUGUUGUAAUUGAACACAUGCAUGUGUGUGUCUGUUUGUGUGCCGCUAUUAUCCCACUCCUCUAGGUUCUCUGCUUUAGUUUGUUGUGGUCAGCUAUUAGCCCCCUCCUAUAGAUUCAGAGUUCUUUUACAACCAAUCAGAGAAAGUUAGGUAAUAUUUAUGAUAGAUGGAGAGGUGAUCACAGAGCAGCCAAAAUAUAAUGUCCUGAAUGUCAAACAGAACAAAGCAGUCCCAAAACUGAUGCG